GUGAACGCUGGCGGUAGGCCUAACACAUGCAAGUCGAACGGCAGCACAGUAAGAGCUUGCUCUUACGGGUGGCGAGUGGCGGACGGGUGAGGAAUACAUCGGAAUCUACUUUUUCGUGGGGGAUAACGUAGGGAAACUUACGCUAAUACCGCAUACGACCUACGGGUGAAAGCAGGGGAUCUUCGGACCUUGCGCGAUUGAAUGAGCCGAUGUCGGAUUAGCUAGUUGGCGGGGUAAAGGCCCACCAAGGCGACGAUCCGUAGCUGGUCUGAGAGGAUGAUCAGCCACACUGGAACUGAGACACGGUCCAGACUCCUACGGGAGGCAGCAGUGGGGAAUAUUAGACAAUGGGCGCAAGCUUGCUCCAGCCAUACCGCGUGGGUGAAGAAGGCCUUCGGGUUGUAAAGCCCUUUUGUUGGGAAAGAAAAGCAGCAGGUUAAUACCCCGCUGUUCUGACGGUACCCAAAGAAUAAGCACCGGCUAACUUCGUG
rnacentral:rRNA from 1 species